GAUGAACGCUGGCGGCGUGCCUAAUACAUGCAAGUCGAGCGAAUGGAUUAAGAGCUUGCUCUUAUGAAGUUAGCGGCGGACGGGUGAGUAACACGUGGGUAACCUGCCCAUAAGACUGGGAUAACUCCGGGAAACCGGGGCUAAUACCGGAUAAUAUUUUGAACUGCAUGGUUCAAAAUUGAAAGGCGGCUUCGGCUGUCACUUAUGGAUGGACCCGCGUCGCAUUAGCUAGUUGGUGAGGUAACGGCUCACCAAGGCAACGAUGCGUAGCCGACCUGAGCGGGUGAUCGGCCACACUGGGACUGAGACACGGCCCAGACUCCUACGGGAGGCAGCAGUAGGGAAUCUUCCGCAAUGGACGAAAGUCUGACGGAGCAACGCCGCGUGAGUGACGAAGGCUUUCGGGUCGUAAAACUCUGUUGUUAGGGAAGAACAAGUGCUAGUUGAAUAAGCUGGCACCUUGACGGUACCUAACCAGAAAGCCACGGCUAACUACGUGCCAGCAGCCGCGGUAA
rnacentral:rRNA from 1 species